UGAUCUCCUUCUGCUGUUUGGUCUUUUCUUAGGCUACACAUUUCCGAUUUCCUCAGAAUUUUAGCAAUGGUAUGUUGUACUGUUAUCUUCUUUUAUUAUUGGUGCAAUGUUUUCCCUGAUAUGCUUGCAAAUCCAUUCUUCCUUUUAAUGAAAUGACCCUCUAAGCUCUAUAAAAAUUUUAAAGUAUUUGUCUCCAGUAUGCUUUUGUUCAUUCUACAAUUGUCAAUUAUGCUUCUAUUACUUAGCUACGUUGUACUGGCAACUAUACAUCAUGUUGUUCUUGAGACAGGCUGCAAAAAUUCUAGCUAAUUUAAUUGUAAUGGAUGGGCUCUUCUAUAUUGGCAAGGGCUUUUGUUCAAACAUAUUGCCAGGCAUUGUCCAGUAAGUAUCUUCUGAAUUAAUGUUCCUUUUAUGUCGAAAAAAAAUGUAUCUGAGUCGUUCUGCUCUGCAUCAUAAGCAUUUUGGGGGCUGUUGGGAUGUUUGGUUUGUUUUUUCUUGCUUCCAUGCACAUCUUACGCACUGUGUACUUACUCUAUCCUAAUGGCAGAUGCCUCGAAAAAUGGUGUUGCUCAAGAAGCUGUGCAGAAUAUAAAAAGAGCUAGCAAAACCAUGACGGAAGCAGAGGCAAGACAGAUUCUUGGUGUCACAGAGGAUUCAUCAUGGGAAGAAAUUGUGCAGAAGUAUGAGAACUUGUUUGAGCGAAAUGCUAAAAACGGGAGUUUACAAACCUAAAGAACCAGAAACAAAAAAAGGAAAAUUAGACACAUCACAAACAACACGACACACUCGCACCAUUUGGUAGUAUGAAUGUGUACAAAGGUAUCAAUUUCUUGAGUAGCUUACAAGAAAAGAAGUUGAAAAAACUCAAUAAGUCAAAUUCAUUAUUCAAGCUUCUUGUAUG